CGCCUCUUGCUAACAAAGGAAGUACUAGAGGUCCCGCCUGCCCUGUGACCACAAAGUUUAACGGCCGCGGUAUCCUGACCGUGCGAAGGUAGCGUAAUCAUUUGUCUUUUAAAUAGAGACCUGUAUGAAUGGCAUAACGAGGGUUUAACUGUCUCCUUCCCCCAGUCAAUGAAAUUGAUCUGCCCGUGCAGAAGCGGACAUAAAUACAUAAGACGAGAAGACCCUAUGGAGCUUUAGACAAAAGAUCAAACAUGUAAAGAAACCAAAACAACCAAAAGGAACACGAAGGCCACAAAACCCAACGUAAACUGAUCUAAAUGUCUUCGGUUGGGGCGACCAUGGGGGAAAGAAAAGCCCCCACGAGGAACAGGGACAACCCCUAAACUAAGAGGGACACCUCUAAGCAACAGAAAAUCUGACCAAAAUGACCCAGGAUACUAAUCCUGAUCAACGAACCAAGUUACCCUAGGGAUAACAGCGCAAUC
rnacentral:rRNA from 1 species